rnacentral:rRNA from 1 species
UCAAUAAGCGGAGGAAAAGAAACCAACAGGGAUUGCCUCAGUAACGGCGAGUGAAGCGGCAAAAGCUCAAAUUUUAAAGCUGGCACCUUCGGUGUCCGCGUUGUAAUUUUGUGAGGCAUCUCCGGGUAGGGCGCCGGCCUAAGUUCCUUGGAACAGGACGUCAUAGAGGGUGAGAAUCCCGUGCUUGGCUGGCUGUCCCCGUCCAUGUGAGGUGUCUUCGACGAGUCGAGUUGUUUGGGAAUGCAGCUCAAAAUGGGUGGUAAAUUUCAUCUAAAGCUAAAUAUUGGUGGGAGACCGAUAGCGCACAAGUAGAGUGAUCGAAAGAUGAAAAGCACUUUGAAAAUAGAGUUAAAAAGUACGUGAAAUUGUUGAAAGGGAAGCGCUUGAGACCAGACUUCGGUGGGGAGUGAUCAGCUGUCCUUCUGGGCGGUGCACUUGCUCCCCUCCGGGCCAGCAUCGGUUGGGACGGCGGGAUAAAGGUCCCGGGAAUGUGGCUCCUCUCGGGGAGUGUUAUAGCCCGGGUGAAUGCCGCCAGCCCCGACCGAGGACCGCGCCUUCGGGCUAGGAUGCUUGGCAUAAUGGUCUUCAGCGACCCGUCUUGAAACACGGACCAAGGAGUCUAACAUCUAUGCGAGUGUUUGGGUGUCAAACCCUUACGCGAAAUGAAAGUGAACGGAGGUGGGAACCCGCAAGGGUGCACCAUCGACCGGUCCCGAAGUCUUCUGAAGGAUCUGAGUAGGAGCAUAGCUGUUGGGACCCGAAAGAUGGUGAACUAUGCCUGAAUAGGGUGAAGCCAGAGGAAACUCUGGUGGAGGCUCGCAGCGGUUCUGACGUGCAAAUCGAUCGUCAAAUUUGGGUAUAGGG